GAUGAACGCUGGCGGCGUGCCUAAUACAUGCAAGUCGAGCGAACAGACGAUGAUCUUGCUCCUCUGACGUUAGCGUCUGACGUGUGAGUAACACGUUGAUAACCUACCUAUUUUUCUGGUAUAACUUCGUGAAACCGGAGCUAAUACCGUAUAAUAUAUUUAACCGCUUUGUUCAAUAGUUAAAUACGUUUUUUCUUUCUCUUAUAGAUUGUUCCGCUCCGCAUUAGCUAGUUGGUAAGGUAACGGCUUACCAAGGCAACGAUGCGUAGCCGAACUGAGAGGGGGAGCGGCAAAACUGGAAAUGAGACACGGAAAAGAAUACUACGGGAGGAAGCAGUAGGGAAGAGUCGGCAAUGGGGGAAAGCAUGAAGGAGAAAGGCAGCGUGAGAGAUGAAGGUCUAAGGAUCGUAAAAAUAUGUUAUGAGGGAAGAAAAAAAGAGUAAGAAAAAAAGCACGAAUUGAAGGUACCAAAUAAGAAAGCCACGGCUAACUACGUG
rnacentral:rRNA from 1 species